UGUGAAACAAGUAGAGAGUGUAGAGUUAGUGAGAGAGUGUUUUGAAGUUGUGUUUGUAAUUGUUUCUUUUAAGUGUGGUAGUUACGUAAAGCUAAUAUGAGUUGUUAUUAUUUUGUUCGUUUUUAAAAUUAAUCAUUUAUAUCCAUUUUAUUUGGGGGUGCACGGUUGAAGUGACGAAACGACGAGAAGGUAAUCCACAUUUCAUCCAUAUAUCAACAU
rnacentral:lncRNA from 1 species